GCCGGAGUGGCGGAAUGGGUAGACGCUGCGGACUUAAAAUCCGCUGGCCGCAAGGCCGUGCCGGUUCGAGCCCGGCCUCCGGCACCA
rnacentral:tRNA from 1 species